GACGAACGCUGGCGGCGUGCUUAACACAUGCAAGUCGAACGAAGUGGCGAACGGGUGAGUAACGCGUAAUCAACCUGCCCUUCAGAGGGGGACAACAGUUGGAAACGACUACUCAUACCCCAUACUGAAGGAGGGGAUUGCGUCUGAUUAGCUAGUUGGGGGGGUAACGGCCCACCAAGGCGAUGAUCAGUAGCCGGUCUGGGGGGAUGAACGGCCAAAAUGGGACUGAGACACGGCCCAGACUCCUACGGGAGGCAGCAGUGGGGAAUCUUCCGCAAUGGACGGAAGUCUGACGGAGCAACGCCGGGUGAGUGAUGACGGCCUUCGGGUUGUAAAGCUCUGUUAAUCGGGACGCGGUACCGGAAUAGAAAGCCACGGCUAACUACGUGCCAGCCGCCGCGGUAAUAC
rnacentral:rRNA from 1 species